rnacentral:rRNA from 1 species
CAGCAGCACGGGAAUACAGAGGAUGCAAGCGUUACCCGGAAUGAUUGGGCGUAAAGCGUCUGUAGGUGGCUUUUCAAGUCCGCUGUCAAAUCCCAGGGCUCAACCCUGGACAGGCGGUGGAAACUACCAAGCUGGAGUGCGGUAGGGGCAGAGGGAAUUUCCGGUGGAGCGGUGAAAUGCGUUGAGAUCGGAAAGAACACCAACGGCGGAAGCACUCUGCUGGGCCGACACUGACACUGAGAGACGAAAGCUAGGGGAGCAAAUGGGAUUAGAUACCCCCGUAGUCCCUGUCUCUUAUACA